rfam:Glarea lozoyensis ATCC 20868 chromosome Tnknown GLAREA10, whole genome shotgun sequence.
GGGGGAUUGGUGUAGUGGUAGCAUGUUGGAUUCCAGUUUCUCACAAGAUGGAAAUACCCAUUGGUCGUCGGUUCAAAUCCGGCAUCCCUCA